rnacentral:rRNA from 1 species
CGGCAAAACCGAGACGGUGAGUACUAACCUCCGCCUCGUGGUGGUUCCUUCCUUCGGGUUGGUAUCGCCGCGUGGUGUUGGGAGCGUAGCCGCAGUAGGUCAGCGCA